rnacentral:rRNA from 1 species
AGUGGCGAACGGGUGAGUAAUACAUCGGAACGUACCCAGAAGUGGGGGAUAACGUAGCGAAAGUUACGCUAAUACCGCAUACGUUCUACGGAAGAAAGUGGGGGAUCGCAAGACCUCAUGCUUUUGGAGCGGCCGAUGUCUGAUUAGCUAGUUGGUGAGGUAAAGGCUCACCAAGGCGACGAUCAGUAGCUGGUCUGAGAGGACGACCAGCCACACUGGAACUGAGACACGGUCCAGACUCCUACGGGAGGCAGCAGUGGGGAAUUUUGGACAAUGGGCGCAAGCCUGAUCCAGCAAUGCCGCGUGAGUGAAGAAGGCCUUCGGGUUGUAAAGCUCUUUUGUCAGGGAAGAAACGGUCUCGGCUAAUAUCCGGGGCUAAUGACGGUACCUGAAGAAUAAGCACCGGCUAACUACGUGCCAGCAGCCGCGGUAAUAC